CCACACCAAAAAAACUGUCCACGUGAAUGUAUUCUUUAUGAGGCUUGUGCUCUAACGGGCUAGCCGAAGGUUUCGAAAGGAACCGAUGUAUUUUUUAAUCCCUUUUAUACUUAAUGACUGAUAACACUUAGCGUUCAGAAAUGAUUGCUUGUAAUUUCUAUACAACUUUCAACAGUGGAUGUCUAGGCUCGCACAUCGAUGAAGACCACAGCGAAAUGUGAUACGUAAUGCGAAUUGCAGAAUUCAGUGAGUCAUCGAAAUGUUGAACGCAUAUUGCACUUUCGGGUUAGUCCUGGAAGUAUGUCUGUAUCAGUGUCCGUAAACACAAACUUGUUUUAUCUUUUUUGGAUAAAGCAGACUGUGAAGGUCUUGUUUUGAACAAGUCCUUUGAAAAGAAAGUCCCUGUAUACGAGUUCAAGUAUAUUAUAUAAAGGACUAUAUGCUAUUCUGAUUUCAAUGUUUUAUGUGAAACAUGGAUUGAAAGUAGAAUAAAUGGCGGUAGUUUUGCUUGUGUUUCGGCACGGGUGAACAAAUAUUGCUUUUUAUAUCGACUGGAAAGAAGUGUGUUGUGUAAGAUGUGUUAAUGGAAGAGGAGAACGCAUGUAGUUUGGUAUAUUUGACAGUAUAUGGAAGCAAAUUGGGAAACAAUCUCCAAUUUGGACCUGAUAUCAGACAAGACUACCCGCUGAAUUUAAG
rnacentral:rRNA from 1 species